AGGGAGGAAUUAAAAGAGAGACGGAGGAAAAAAUUUUUGACCCCGACGUGAUUCGAACACGCAGCCUUCUGAUCUGGAGUCAGACGCGCUACCGUUGCGCCACGAGGUCCUGACAAUUUUGGCCUGCUUCUUUUCUCGCUCCGCCGGCAUCUAUUGUCCAAUAUUCCCUCAGAAAAGCCAUCAUCUCCAGUAUCCACAGCUGAGGAAUACCUCUGCUGAGACCAACCAAAAAGUCAAAUGUGUGUAAUUAAGGGAGGAAUCAUACACAUUAGAGCAGUAUGUGGGUUUUAAAGAAACUGAGGAGUCAAGAUGGAGCAAAGAGACAAGAGGAGAGACAAACUCACACAGGGGACAAACCUUAUAAAUGCUUGGAGUGUGGAAAGAGCUUCAGGAGAUCUACAGCAGCAGUAGCAGGAGCAGGAAGAAAGCACACCCGGGAAGCCAGUGAGCUGCCUCCUUCCCCCCCUGGACAAGCGAGCCAGCAACGGGCGACUCUGAAGGGGAGGCAAGAGGACUGCGGGCCGCCGCCACUAUCAUCGCCACCACUGUCGCCGCCACCAUCCAGAGGCCCCAUGGCUUUUCCAUGGAGGAGCAGCCCGGCCCGCAGCAGCAGCAUUCGCCACCGCACCGCUACUAUUACAACCAACACCACCAGCAGUAUUUGGCCGAGGGCAGUGGGCCCGGUAAGGCCCAGCUGCAGCAGAAGGUGCCC